rnacentral:RNase_P_RNA from 1 species
GUGCCAGCUAACGGCUGGGGGGCGCGAGCCUACGACAAGUGCAGCAGAGAGGAGACCGCCAACUUCGGUUGGUAAGGGUGAAAGGGUGCGGUAAGAGCGCACCGGGCCACUGGUAACAGUUGGUUGCAAGGUAAACUCCACCCGGAGCAAGACCAAAUAGGGUUCCUUAUGGCGUGGCCCACGUUGGAACCGGGUAGGUUGCUUGAGCCAUAGAGCGAUUUAUGGCCUAGACGAAUGAUUAUCCACGACAGAACCCGGCUUAUUGGCUGACUCACCAA